ACGGAAGGCAGCAGUGGGGGAUAUUGCACAAUGGGGGAAACCCUGAUGCAGCAAUGCCGCGUGAGGGAAGACGGUCUUCGGAUUGUAAACCUAAGUAGUCAGGGAUGAAGAAAGUGACAUUACCUAAAGAGUAAGCUCCGGCUAACUACGUGCCAGCAGCCGCGGUAAUACGUAGGGAGCGAGCGUUGUCCGGAUUUACUGGGUGUAAAGGGUGCGUAGGCGGGCUUGCAAGUCAGGCGUGAAAUACCGGGGCCUAACUCCGGGGCUGCGCUUGAAACUGUAAGUCUUGAGUGAAGUAGAGGCAGGCGGAAUUCCCAGUGUAGCGGUGAAAUGCGUAGAUAUUGGGAGGAACACCAGUGGCGAAGGCGGCCUGCUGGGCUUUAACUGACGCUGAGGCACGAAAGUAUGGGGAGCAAACAGGAUUAGAUACCCUGGUA
rnacentral:rRNA from 1 species